rnacentral:rRNA from 1 species
AUUGAACGCUGGCGGCAUGCCUUACACAUGCAAGUCGAACGGCAGCACGGGCUUCGGUCUGGUGGCGAGUGGCGAACGGGUGAGUAAUGUAUCGGAACGUACCAUUGAGUGGGGGAUAACGUAGCGAAAGUUACGCUAAUACCGCAUAUUCUCUCCGGAGGAAAGCAGGGGACCGCAAGGCCUUGCGCUCUUUGAGCGGCCGAUAUCAGAUUAGCUAGUUGGUGGGGUAAAAGCCCACCAAGGCGACGAUCUGUAGCGGGUCUGAGAGGAUGAUCCGCCACACUGGAACUGAGACACGGUCCAGACUCCUACGGGAGGCAGCAGUGGGGAAUUUUGGACAAUGGGCGCAAGCCUGAUCCAGCCAUGCCGCGUGAGUGAAGAAGGCCUUCGGGUUGUAAAGCUCUUUCGGCCGGGAAAAAAUCGCAUGGGCUAAUACCCUGUGUGGAUGAUGGUACCGGAAUAAGAAGCACCGGCUAACUACGUGCCAGCAGCCGCAGUAACAC